GAACGCUGGCGGCAUGCCUUACACAUGCAAGUCGAACGGCAGCACGGGAGCAAUCCUGGUGGCGAGUGGCGAACGGGUGAGUAAUAUAUCGGAACGUGCCCAGUCGUGGGGGAUAACGUAGCGAAAGCUACGCUAAUACCGCAUACGAUCUAUGGAUGAAAGCGGGGGAUCGCAAGACCUCGCGCGAUUGGAGCGGCCGAUAUCAGAUUAGGUAGUUGGUGAGGUAAAGGCUCACCAAGCCGACGAUCUGUAGCUGGUCUGAGAGGACGACCAGCCACACUGGGACUGAGACACGGCCCAGACUCCUACGGGAGGCAGCAGUGGGGAAUUUUGGACAAUGGACGCAAGUCUGAUCCAGCCAUUCCGCGUGCAGGAUGAAGGCCCUCGGGUUGUAAACUGCUUUUGUACGGAACGAAAAGGUUUCUAUUAAUACUAGGAGCUCAUGACGGUACCGUAAGAAUAAGCACCGGCUAACUUCGUG
rnacentral:rRNA from 1 species